AUUGAACGCUGGCGGCAGGCCUAACACAUGCAAGUCGAGCGAGCGGCGGACGGGUGAGUAAUGUAUGGGGACUGCCCGAUAGAGGGGGAUAACUACUGGAAACGGUAGCUAAUACCACAUACUAUCGGAUAACCCAUAUGGUAUUGGCUAGUAGGUGAGGUAAUGGCUCACCUAGGCGACGAUCCCUAGCUGGGCUGAGAGGGUGAUCAGCCCCAGUGGGACUGAGACACGGCCCAUACGCCUACGGAGGGAGCAGUGGGGUAUAGUGCACAAUGGGCGCAAGCCUGAUGCAGCCAUUCCACGUGUAUGAAGAAGGCCCUAGGGUUGUAAAGUACUUUCAGUCGGGAUGCGUUACCGACAGAAGAAGCACCGGCUAACUACGUGCCAGCAGCCGCGGUAAUAC
rnacentral:rRNA from 1 species